rnacentral:misc_RNA from 1 species
CAUCGCCAAUAUUUAUCCCCAUUCCUCUCCCCCCUCCAUUUCCCCGAUUGCGAGGAAUUCCCGAACGCUAGGGGUUUGUAGCCGGGAUCGGCGCUGCAGAUCGCGACGUGCGGGUGUUCCGAUCAGGAGAUCCAAUGGACCACAACGAGACAGGAUGCCAUGCUCCUGAAGCACCGAUCUUCUGUGUCAACAACUGCGGUUUCUUUGGCAGUGCUGCCACAAUGAACAUGUGCUCCAAGUGUCACAAGGAUCAUGUCAUGAAGCAGGAACAAGAGAAACUUGCUGCAUCCUCUUUCAAUAGCAUCGUCAAUGGCAGCAGCAGUAGCAGUGCAAAAGAGCCUGUCCUUCCCAGUAAAGCUGGUGUUGAAGUCGAGCCGGUAGAGCCAAAAACCUUAUCAGCACAGCCGUCCAAUACUUCUGUCUCAAGUGAGGGUGCUGAGCCGAAGGCUCAGCAAGGCCCGAACAGAUGCAAUGCUUGUCAGAAGCGGGUUGGAUUGAUGGGGUUUGGGUGUAAGUGUGGAAGCAUAUUCUGUGCGGCACAUCGUUACUCCGACAAGCAUGACUGCCCAUUUGAUUACCGGACUGCAGCCAGGAGUGCUAUUGCCAAAGCGAACCCAGUGGUGAAGGCUGAGAAGCUGGAUAAGAUCUAGAAGGCUAAUGAAGUGUUGUUUGAUACCUCUCCUUUCUGCAACUAUGCCCUUUGAUUUCAUGUUGGCUGCUUGUCUUUUAAUCUGACUAUAAAUGGUGGAGGCGUGGGUGUUGAUGGCACCUCUGCAGCCUCGAGAACAUUUGCUUGUUGUUGAUUGGAAAAGGUUUGCAUGUUGGCACUGGUGUGUAAGUUAGUUUCUGGUAUGGUUGAGG